UACGGGGGGAGCAAGCGUUGUCCGGAAUUACUGGGCGUAAAGGGCGCGUAGGCGGCCUUCUACGUCGAACGUGAAAUCCCCGGGCUCAACCCGGGAACUGCGUCCGAUACUGGAAGGCUUGAAUCCGGGAGAGGGAUGUGGAAUUCCAGGUGUAGCGGUGAAAUGCGUAGAUAUUGGGAGGAACAUCGGUGGCGAAGGCGGCUACCUGGACGGGUACUGACGCUGAUGCGCGAAAGCUAGGGGAGCAAACAGG
rnacentral:rRNA from 1 species